rnacentral:lncRNA from 1 species
AUACUGCUCUUUAAAAACAAAAAACGGGUGAUGGUUGCACAACAAUGUGAAUGUACUUAAUGCCAUUGAACCGUGGUUUAAAUGAUUCAUUUUACUUUAAGUACCUGUUACCACACACACGCAUGCGCACACACAAAAACCUCACAGCAAUAGUGUUGCAGUGCCUUUAUAUUCCAGUGCGAUUAUUUUAACCUUGGGCAUAUAUGAUGCACACGUGGAUUUCUAUAGGAUAAAUGCCAACUUCUUCCCCCGUGCAGUUGUUUCCUCCCAUUCCACGGGUAUCCAUCGUAAAAGUACUUCCUACUAAAUCUACUGCUAAAGUUAUAUAUAUUCCUCUUAAAACUUUGUUUCCUUACUAUUCCAGGGCUGGUCCGGGAAAUUGUGAAGGAAUUCUUUGAUGCCUUCCUCCAAGGUUUAGGAAUGACAAAUGAAGCCUUAGGACAAUGCUGGCCCGACAGAAGUUUGCUAAACCUGGUCUUCCCUCUCCCGUCUGCUCUCUCUGACUCAGCUCCAGGAAGACUAACCCUGAGCUAACAUCCGCCAAUCCUCCUCUUUUUACUGAGGAAGACUGGCCCUGAGCUAACAUCCGUGCCCAUCUUCCUCUACUUUAUAUGUGGGAUGCCUGCCACAGCAUGGCUUGCCAAGUAGUACCGUGUCCACACUCGGGAUCCGAACUGGCGAACCCCAGGCCACCAAAGCGGAACAUGUGCACUUACCCGCUGCGCCACUGGGCCGGCCCCGAGCUCAUCUCUUAAACUGCUGUGGGGAGCAUCUUGGGUGAUGGCCUGAACUUGUGUGUGGAAACCCUGCCCGGGUCUUGGAAACAUCCCAGGUAGACGGGUGGAUAACAGAGGCAAAGCUGGUGGCGUCAGCUCUCAGAGCUACCUUUCCGGCACAGCGUGAUGUGAUCUGACCGACCGGGCCAGUCUCUGCCCAAAAUCUUCUAGAGGCACCCCAUCGCCUGCAGGACAUAGUCCAACUCCUCCCUGAGCCCCCUGCCCCCCAAGCUGGCUGCAGCCUGACCCUUCCUGCCUGAGACGUUACGUUCCAACAAUGAGUGCAGAACGGCUUGCAGCUUCCCUCCUACAUCAUCCCGUCCCUGAGCUUCAUGCCUGUGCUUCCGCAAUCUGUGGCAAGGGUACACCCGCGAGCCCAGCUCAUCAAAAACUCAGCUCAUGUUGCACCUCCCCUGCUACCCUCACUCCCAACCAGGCCAGCUCAAAGGCUGCUCCUCUGAGAUUUGAUGGCACCUUGCAGGUGCC